AAAAAUGCAUUUUUUUCUAGUGGUUUAUCCACAUAAAGUUCUAGAUAAAAACUGAUGAUGACAAUUUUUUAUCUAUAAGUCUUGACUAAAUCACGUGCCAGCAGUCGCGGUAAUACGGGAAAGACAAGUGUUAUUCAUCUUUAAUAGGUUUAAAGGGUACCUAGACAGCAUAUUUUGCCUUGUUGGCGCGAGGAUAUAUAUAUGCUAGAGUUUCAUGUAAGAGGUAUAUCAGUACUGACGGAGUAGAGAUAAAAUUUUCUGAUACUAUCGGGCACUGGUAACGGCGAAGGCAACCCUUUAUGUAAAAACUGACGUUGAGGGACGAAGGCUUGGGUAACAAACAGGAUUAGAUACCCUAAUAGUCUAAGCAGAGAAUGAUGAGUGCCAUAGUUUAGGUAUAUCUUGAUCUAUAAAUGAAAGUGUAAGCAUUCCACCUCAAGAGUAAGGCGGCAACGCAGGAACUGAAAUCAUUAGACCGUUUCUGGAACCAGUAGUGAAGUAUGUUAUUUAAUUCGAUGAUCCGCGAAUAAUCUUACCACAAUUUGAAUAUUAUAUUUAAUACAGGUGCUGCACGGCUGUCUUUAGUUAAUGUCGUGAGAUGUAGGUUAGAUCCAUAAAUUAACGUAAACCCUUGCAUUAUUUAUAAAUAAUGUAGUUCCCCGCUAUAUUGGAAAGACAACAGGGGUCAAGACAAGUACUCAUGGCCCUAAUAUUGUGGGCUA
rnacentral:rRNA from 1 species